UUGAUUACGUCCCUGCCCUUUGUACACACCGCCCGUCGCUGCCCGGGACUGAGCCAUUUCGAGAAAUUUGGGGACCGUUGAUUUAAUUUUUCUAAAUUACUUUGAUGGAAACCAAUUUAAUCGCAGUGGCUUGAACCGGGCAAAAGUCGUAACAAGGUAGCUGUAGGUGAACCUGCUGCUGGAUCAUUACUUUAUGUGAUGUUCAAAUUUGAAUUCGCAAUGAAAUAAUCGCUGUGAAACGGCUGUCGCUGGUGUCUAUGUGUUGCUGAUACAGUUGUGAACGUCCGUGGCUGUAUAUGUGGUGACAUGUUAGGACUCUAAUUACCGAGUUUAAGACUUAAUGAGCCUCUUAAGUGAGGACGCCAGCAAUCUUUUUUCUCUAUAUUUUAUAAAAAAACAAAAUUUCUAGCCUUAUCGGUGGAUCACUCGGCUCGUGGAUCGAUGAAGAACGCAGCAAACUGCGAUAAUUUGUGCGAACUGCAGAAACCUUGAGCACAAAAGUUUUGAACGCAUAUUGCCGCAUUGGGGUCAAACCCUUUGCUACGUCUGGUUCAGGGUCAUUUUCUUUUAAAGCGAAAGCUUUAAUUUAUAUAUGCUAUUGAUGCUUUAUAUUUUAAGAGGUUUGUUGUUUGUCAUAAUUUUAUAAAUAUAACUACAAAAAUCAAGCAACUUUGACCUGAACUCAGUCGAGAGCACCCGCUGAACUUAAGCAUAUCAUUUAGCGGAGGA
rnacentral:rRNA from 1 species